UGGGGAAUAUUGGACAAUGGGCGAAAGCCUGAUCCAGCGACGCCGCGUGUGUGAAGAAGGCCUGCGGGUUGUAAAGCACUUUCGAUGGGAACGAAAUGUGCCGGGUUAAUACCCCGGUAAGCUGACGUUACUCAAUGAAGAAGCACCGGCUAACUCUGUGCCAGCAGCCGCGGUAAUACAGAGGGUGCGAGCGUUAAUCGGAAUUACUGGGCGUAAAGCGCACGUAGGUGGCGACGUAAGUCGGGUGUGAAAGCCCCGGGCUCAACCUGGGAAUUGCAUUCGAGACUGCAUUGCUGGAGUGCAGAAGGGGCAAUCGGAAUUCUUGGUGUAGCGGUGAAAUGCGUAGAUAUCAAGAGGAACACCUGAGGUGAAGACGGGUUGCUGGGCUGACACUGACGCUGAGGCGCGAAAGCCAGGGGAGCAAACGGGAUUAGAUACCCCAGUAGUCCCUGAGCGGGCUGGCAAGGCGCAU
rnacentral:rRNA from 1 species